rnacentral:rRNA from 1 species
AUGAUGGCGUGGGCGGAGGACGAGGCCAUCGGCCCCGACGUCGCCUCGGCGGGGCUGCACGUCUCGGAGCGGAUCGGCCGCGACGCCGCCGCGCAGCCCGACCUGGAGGAGGCGCUCGAGGCCUCGCGCUACGCCUNNNNNNNNNNNNNNNNNNNNNNNNNNNNNUGGCCUCCUCUGGUGGAAGUUGCAGAAACUCGGCAGCUUCCUCCUAUGCUGAUUGAGAGAUAUAAUGCAGCUGCUGGUGAAGGAACAGCUCUUUGUGGAAUAUUUUCUGAAAUACACCGGGCCUGGGCAACUGUUGACAAUUCAUUUUACAUUUGGCGCUUUGAUAAGUGGGAUGGCCAGUGUCAAGAGUAUCAUGCAGAUGAGCAAGCAAUUUGUGCUGUUGGACUUGCUAGAGCAAAGCCUGGGAUUUUUGUCGAAGCAAUCCAGUACAUUUUGAUUUUAGCAACUCCUGUGGAGGUGAUGCUUGUUGGAGUUUGCUGUUCUGCUAGUGCUGAUGGAACAGAUCCAUAUGCUGAACUUUCAUUGCAACCUUUACCUGAGUACAUGAUUUCUACUGAUGGUGUCACAAUGACAUGCAUCACAUGUACAGAUAGGGGUCAGAUUUUCCUGUCAGGACGUGAUGGGCAUAUAUAUGAAUUGCAAUACACAACUGGUUCAGGUUGGCGUAAACGCUGCCGUAAAGUUUGCCUUACCACGGGUUUAGGCAGUCUUCUUUCCAGGUGGGUCCUGCCAAGUGCGUUUAAUUUCUCUGCUGUUGAUCCUAUAGUGGACAUGGUUAUUGAUGAGGAGAGGAACACUAUCUAUGCACGCACAGAAGGCAUGAAAUUGCAACUAUUUGAUUUAGGAGCUAGCGGUGAUGGUCCCUUGAAAAAAAUCACUGAAGAAAAGAACCUUGUUGAUCCACGAGAUGCACCUUAUGGUGGUCGAAGGCCUAAUGCAUCAAGAGCUGCACGAUCCCCAAAACCAUCAAUAGUAUGCAUCUCACCUUUGUCCGCCAUGGAAUCGAAAUGGCUCCAUGCUGUUGCUGUUUUAUCAGAUGGCAAGAGAUUAUUCAUUUCAACAUCAGGUGGAAGCAGUUCUUCAGUUGGACUGAACUCUGGUUUGCAGAGGCCAAGCUGUUUAAAAAUUGUUGCUACUAGGCCUUCCCCACCUCUAGGGGUUGGUGGGGGACUCACAUUUGGUGCUGUUUCUGCUGCUGGCAGAGCUCAGCCGGAGGAUCUGGCGUUAAAAGUGGAGUCUGCUUUCUAUUCUGCCGGCGCUCUUAUAAUGUCAGAUUCAUCUGCUACAGCUAUGUCCUCCCUUCUAGCUGUGCAGAAAGAUUCUGCUGCCCAGUUAUCACUGCCUAGUACCUUCGCAACAGCUUCUAGAAGCUCUAAGGCUCUCCGAGAAACAGUCUCCGCUUUGCCAGUUGAGGGUCGGAUGCUUUGUGCUUCUGAUGUCUUCCCACUUCCAGAUGCUGCUUUCAUCAUGCAGUCUUUAUACGCUGAUGUGGAAUGCCUUUCAGCAUUCAGAAAACCUUCUGAGAAAGCAUCUGUAAAGCUGUGGGCCAAAGGCGAUCUUCCUACCCAACAUAUCUUACCACGGAGAAGGAUGGUAGUAUUCAAUACAAUGGGUUUGAUGGAAUUAGUUUUUAACAGGCCUGUUGACAUUCUAAGGAAGUUGUUUGAUGGGAACACCUUGAGAUCACAAAUAGAAGAGUUCUUUAAUCGCUUUGGUGCUGGAGAGGCUGCAGCAAUGUGCUUAAUGCUAGCUGCGAAGUUACUUUACACUGAAGAUAGUCUGAUAAGCAAUGCGGUUUCUGAGAAGGCUGCUGAAGCAUUUGAGGACCCUGGGCUUGUUGGAAUGCCUCAACUUAAUGGCACUACUGCUUUGUCUAACACUCGAACUCAGGCUGGAGGCUUUAGCAUGGGACAAGUUGUUCAGGAAGCAGAACCUUUGUUUUCCGGCGCAUAUGAAGGGCUUUGCUUAUGCUCAUCCAGACUUCUGUAUCCUGUGUGGGAGCUUCCAGUUAUGGUGGUUCGGGGGCUGAUAGGUUCCAAUGACCACGGGGAUGGCGUGGUCGUUUGUAGGCUUUCUACUGGUGCCAUGAAAGUUCUUGAGAGUAAGAUUCGUUCGUUGGAAACAUUUUUGAGGUCCAGAAGAAACAAGAGAAGAGGACUUUAUGGGUAUGUUGCUGGCCUGGGAGAUUCUGGUUCCAUACUGUACAAAACAGGGCCUACCAUUGGUGCUGGUAUCCAUAACAAUGGAAAGAGCCCCUACCGCAUUAGAGACAUGGACUCUGCAGAUCAAUCUGCAUCGAAUAAGAAGCCACGGUCGCUUUAUACAUCAGCAGAACUAGCUGCUAUGGAGGUGAGGGCAAUCGAGUGCCUUAGGCGGUUGCUUCGAAGAUCUGGUGAAGCACUUGUUCUACUUCAACUUAUUUGUCAGCAUAAUGUUGCUCGCUUGGUUCAGACACUAGGCAAUGAUUUGCGUAAAAAGUUAGUUCAGUUAACUUUUCAUCAGUUAGUAUGUUCUGAGGAUGGUGACCAGCUUGCGAUGCGGCUUAUUUCUUCACUCAUGGAGUACUACAUUGGCCCAGAGGGCAAAGGAACUGUUGAGGAUAUCAGCACUAAAUUGAGGGAGGGCUGUCCUAGCUACUUCAACGAGUCAGACUACAAGUAUUACUCCGCAGUUGAGAGUCUCGAGAAAGCAUCUAUGACAAACAACCAAGACGAGAGGGAUAUUCUUGCUAGGGAAGCCUUCAAUCUCUUGACCAAAAUUCCAGACUCUGCUGAUUUGAGUGCUAUAUGCAAGAGAUUUGAGAACCUACGAUUCUAUGAGGCAGUAGUGCGGUUGCCACUACAGAAGGCUCAAGCACUUGAUUCCAAUGCUGAUGUUAUUAAUGGGCAAAUUGAUGCAAGGCAUCAUGAUACUAUAACUGCACAGCGUGUACAGUGCUAUGAAAUAGUUAUGAAUGCUCUGCGUACACUCAAAGGUGCGGGACGAAGUGGGGCACCUGGUCCAGUGACUGCCCUUGAUCCAGCUUCUCGAAGCAAAUGUAUCAAACAGAUUAUUCAGCUAAGUGUCCAGUGGCCAGACACAGCUUUCCACGAGCAUCUAUACAGGACACUUAUUGAGCUUGGUCUGGAUAAUGAACUUUUGGAGUACGGAGGCUCCGAUUUGGUUGCUUUUCUUCAGAGUGCUGGUCGUAAGCAUCAAGAAGAGGUUCGAGGGGCUCCUAGGUUGGAUGAUUUAGGUGCACCUAUUUCUACUAGCCAAACGAAGUAUCUUGAGCUCCUAGCAAGGUACUAUGUUCUCAAGGGGGAGCAUGUUGCUGCUGCCAGGAUGUUAUUGAUAUUGGCAGAAAGGCAGUGCUCCAAUGCCGAAGAAGCUCCUGCUCUUGAUCAGAGGUAUCAAUAUCUGAGCAAUGCUGUGCUACAGGCCAAAAGUGCAGGCAUUGCUGCUGAUUCGUCGAGAAAUCCUAUUGACAGUAGUACAGUGGAUCUACUUGAAGGCAAACUUGCAGUGCUUCGGUUUCAAAUGCAAAUUAAACAAGAACUGGAGUCUAUGGCUUCACGGCUUGAAACUAUCCCAGGCAGUUCUGAAUCACCCAGCGACCCCUUUCCUCGUGAUAAUGUUCUAGCUGAUGCAGAAUCUGCCAAGGAGGCCAAGGACAAGGCGAAAGAGCUUUCACUGAAUCUUAAGAGCAUUACUCAACUAUACAACGACUAUGCUGUUCCAUUUAAUCUUUGGGAGGUUUGCCUGGAAAUGCUCAACUUUGCAAAUUACUCUGGAGAUGCUGAUAGCAAAAUUGUCCGGGAAAUUUGGGCCAGACUCCUUGACCAAACACUGACAAGAGGUGGUUUAGCAGAAGCAUGUUCUGUGGUGAAAAGAGUUGGCUCAAAACUAGAUCCUGCAGAUGGAGCUUGUUUACCUUUGGAUAUAAUAUGCCUUCAUCUUGAGAAGGCUGCAUUGGAUAGGUUAAGUUCAGGACAAGAAUUAGUUGGUGAUGAGGAUGUUGCAAGAGCCCUUCUCGGAGCCUGUAAAGGUCAAGCCGAGCCUGUGCUUGCUGUGUAUGAUCAACUGCUAUCGAAUGGUGCAAUCGUGCCCUCACUUAAUCUGAAGCUGCGGCUUCUGAGAUCAGUUCUCGCAAUCCUUCGCGAAUGGGGAAUGUCGGUCAUUGCCCAUAAGCUAGGCACCACAACUGCUGGGGCUUCGUUCUUUUUGGAUGGAACAUUUUCGCUGAAUCAAACAGGGUCUUUGCAGAAAGGUGUUCGAGAUAAAAUAAUUAGUUUGGCAAACAGGUAUAUGACUGAGGUGAGGCGAUUAAAUCUCCCACAGAACCAAACAGAUAAUGUGUACCGAGGUUUCCGUGACCUAGAGGAGAAAUUGUUAUCUCCUUACUAG